ACGUAAGCGGCUGGUGUCUCAGUGCCAUCUGGCACAUAAUAGCAAACACAGAUCCACGACCAUAUGGUGAAACGCCAGUAGAACGAGGCAGUGGUUUCAUUGCAUCAUAAUGUGCUAACACAUGGGAGUAAAGAUGAGGCCAGCAUGAUGGAAAGUGUCUCAUGUUGAGUUAAUAAUGGACCUAAAAAAUCUUGAUUUAAAUCCGAAGACAAUGUAGAUAUUCAAGGGCUCAAAAGGAGAGUUGAGACAUUGGAAGGGCACAUGGUUCCACUUGACAUUGCGCUAGCAAGUCCUUUGUGAGUGGUAUUGGGGUGGAGGCAAAGGUUAUCCCAGCCUCUGUCGCUGUGCCUUCAUUACCAGCAGUUCUGUCCACCUGGGGGCCCUAAUGGCCUCUAUACACCAUAAAAUGAAUGUGAGCGGUGCAACUGCUGACUCAUCCACUGUAGUCACUUGAACUCAUCAAAGGACAAAACACAUAUAAGGAAACCGAGAAGGAAAACAAUCAGCUCUUUUUGCUCUGGGCUGAGGGAGUGAGCUGUAAUGAGGAAGCACGAGAAUGCAUUGGGCGCCCUCAGACCUGAACACACAGGUUAGCACCACCUGCCUGGCCGACCCGGCUCACAGGUGCGCAGUUGCCAGUUGAGAAUAACUUAUUCAGGGUUAUUGAAUGGUGGAGGAUCUUUCAAAAUCAACAGCUAGAAGGUAGAGAACCCUUCAUGACAUACUAAGAAGUUUCACACUAAGCAAAGGAGAGUG